rnacentral:tRNA from 1 species
AGAGUAGUAUUUUAACUAAAAAAACCUAAUUUGCAUUUAGAAAAUGCCCUCGCCUAUUCU